rnacentral:rRNA from 1 species
AUCUAGCUUGCUAGAUGCUGACGAGUGGCGCACGGGUGCGUAACGCGUAUACAAUCUACCUUUAACUGAGGGAUAGCCCAGAGAAAUUUGGAUUAACACCUCAUAGUAUUAUAAUUAGGCAUCUUUUUAUAAUUAAAACUUCGGUGGUUAAAGAUGAGUAUGCGUACUAUUAGCUAGUUGGUAAGGUAAAAGCUUACCAAGGCAACGAUAGUUAGGGGGCCUGAAAGGGUGAUCCCCCACACUGGUACUGAGACACGGACCAGACUCCUACGGGAGGCAGCAGUGAGGAAUAUUGCACAAUGGAGGAAACUCUGAUGCAGCCAUGCCGCGUGCAGGAAGAAUGCCCUAUGGGUUGUAAACUGCUUUUAUACAAGAAGAAACCUCGGUACGUGUACCGACUUGACGGUAUCGUGUGAAUAAGCACCGGCUAACUCCGUGCCAGCAGCCGCGGUAAUACGGAGGGUGCAAGCGUUAUCCGGAUUUAUUAGGUUUAAAGGGUCCGCAGGCGGAAUAUUAAGUCAGUGGUGAAAGCCUACAGCUCAACUGUA